rnacentral:rRNA from 1 species
UACGUAGGGUGCGAGCGUUAAUCGGAAUUACUGGGCGUAAAGCGUGCGCAGGCGGUUUUGUAAGCCAGGUGUGAAAUCCCCGGGCUCAACCUGGGAAUGGCAUUUGGGACUGCAAGGCUGGAGUGUGGCAGAGGAGACUGGAAUUCCUGGUGUAGCAGUGAAAUGCGUAGAUAUCAGGAGGAACACCGGUGGCGAAGGCGGGUCUCUGGGCCGAUACUGUCGCUGAGGAGCGAAAGCCAGGGGAGCAAACGGG